AAGGCCUUCGGGUUGUAAAAUCCUUUCGUGCGGGAAGAUUUUUUGUGGGUGAACAAUCCCACGGAUCGACUGUACCGCAGGAAGAAGCCCCGGCUAAUUACGUGC
rnacentral:rRNA from 1 species